rnacentral:rRNA from 1 species
GACGAACGCUGGCGGCGUGCCUAAUACAUGCAAGUCGAACGCAGUGGGGACGGGUGAGUAACACGUGGCUGACCUCCCAGCUGAGGGGAUAAAACUUGGAAACAGGUGCUAAACCGAUACUGAUGGAUGAACUCGGGGUGCAUUAGCUAGUUGGUGCGGGAACGGCUCACCAAGGCCACGAUGCAUAGCCGGCCUGAGAGGAUGACCGGCCACACUGGGACUGAGACACGGCCCAGACUCCUACGGGAGGCAGCAGUAGGGAAUCUUCGACAAUGGGCGAAAGUCUGACCGAGCAAGGCCGCGUGUGUGAAGAAGGUUUUCGGAUCGUAAAGCUCUGUUGUUAGAGAAGCGGUAUCUAACCAGAAAGCCACGGCUAACUACGUGCCAGCAGCCGCGGUAAUUC